UAGAUGCCAUGACUGCCACUCACGCACG
rnacentral:sRNA from 1 species